UAAGCGGAUGAAAAGAAACUAACAAGGAUUCCCCUAGUAACUGCGAGUGAAGCGGGAAAAGCUCAAAUUUAAAAUCUGGUAGUCUCUGGCUGCCCGAGUUGUAAUCUAGAGAAGCGUUAUCCGCGCUGGACCGUGUAUAAGUCUCCUGGAAUGGAGCGUCAUAGAGGGUGAGAAUCCCGUCUUUGACACGGACUACCAGGGCUUUGUGAUGCGCUCUCAAAGAGUCGAGUUGUUUGGGAAUGCAGCUCUAAAUGGGUGGUAAAUUCCAUCUAAAGCUAAAUAUUGGCGAGAGACCGAUAGCGAACAAGUACCGUGAGGGAAAGAUGAAAAGAACUUUGGAAAGAGAGUUAAACAGUACGUGAAAUUGUUGAAAGGGAAACGCUUGAAGUCAGUCGCGUUGGCUAGGAAUCAGCCUUGCUUUUGCUUGGUGUACUUCCUUGUUGACGGGUCAGCAUCAAUUUUGACCGGUGGAAAAAGGCCAGUUGAAUGUGGCAUCUUCGGAUGUGUUAUAGCUUCUGGUCGUAUACAUCGGUUGGGAUUGAGGAACUCAGCACGCCGCAAGGUCGGGGUUCGCCCACGUUCGUGCUUAGGAUGCUGGCAUAAUGGCUUUAAUCGACCCGUCUUGAAACACGGACCAAGGAGUCUAACAUGCCUGCGAGUGUUUGGGUGGAAAACCCGAGCGCGUAAUGAAAGUGAAAGUUGAGAUCCCUGUCGUGGGGAGCAUCGACGCCCGGACCAGACCUUUUGUGACGGAUCCGCGGUAGAGCAUGUAUGUUGGGACCCGAAAGAUGGUGAACUAUGCCUGAAUAGGGUGAAGCCAGAGGAAACUCUGGUGGAGGCUCGUAGCGAUUCUGACGUGCAAAUCGAUCGUCAAAUUUGGGUAUAGGGGCGAAAGACUAAUCGAACCACCUAGUAGC
rnacentral:rRNA from 1 species